AUACUACCGGAAGCACUAAUGAGUACUACCAGUUCGCACUAUUCACAGCCUCUUUGAGCUGUGUCAUUACAAUUGUUACACUGGAGACAAGUUAAAGAUCGUUUAGAUUCUUAUAUUAGAAUGCCAAAGCCCAUACAGAAUCUAAAACAACAGCACAGAGCUCAGGAGAGAUCCCAUCUCAGUCCUUGUGCGGCACUCCCUCACACCGGGCAGCCAGGAUGAGGAAGCUUCUGACGUUCUCUCCUGAUCUUUACUCUUUUCCCUCUGAUUACCUUUAUCCCUGGCAUCUUUGUGUAAAAGUCAAUUUUAAUUAAUCUUUCCACCAACUAAGUGUUAGGAGCAGGUGCGUAGUAAGUGCUCAAGAGUUGAUAGAUAAGCUUACGCCCUUACGAAUGAGGGCAGAGAAGCAAUGUGCCUUUGUAACUCUGAGUUCCACCACUGAGAUGCCCAGCGGGCCUCUGGUCGUGCUUCGCCUGUCUGUGUGCAAAGUCCAAGGCACCCACAUUCUUCUGAGUUAGAGGAGCAACUUCAGGGUACCAGGUCUUCUGUUGAGGUUCUUGACCCAUCUGGAACCAAGGCUUAUGCAGGUAUAUCGACCUCACCCAUGUUGAUGUUUAGAGAAAAGCAGCAGACUGAACAUAGAGAAGUGAAGCGGGAGUCCAUGCAGCUGCCGUCAGACUCCAAAACACCUCCACCGACACCAAUAUCUAACUCGGUUUCGCUCAGGGUUUGUCAAAACCUAGUCCUGUCUUUUGGAUCUCUGUGGCUCUUGCCCCGUGGCCCACUCACUUGUUCACUCAACUACUGUGGCAAUACAAUAUUAUAAAAGUAUCGUGUACAUCCUAAGCGACGGGAACUCCCCCUGGACUCGACAGUCAGAACUAAGAACACAACUCCAUGUCAGUGAAGAGUUAAGGCUGAUAUCCUACUGUGUGCUCUGUCUGUUUCUUUAAGAGAACGAUGUAACAGCCCUCUUCACUUGCUUUGGGUUGCCCAUGUCCUUAAGUUUUAGAAGCUAAGGUAAGGUAUAGCUGUUGUCUUAAGUCAUGUACUCUCCCAUGCCUAGACCCGGGAGUCAUGCAUGUAUUAUGAUAAUCAAUGCUGGGAACAAUAAAUAGGUUGAAAGUGA
rnacentral:sRNA from 1 species